rnacentral:rRNA from 1 species
UAGGGAAUCUUCNNNAAUGGACGGAAGUCUGACCGAGCAACGCCGCGUGAGUGAAGAAGGUUUUCGGAUCGUAAAGCUCUGUUGUAAGAGAAGAACGAGUGUGAGAGUGGAAAGUUCACACUGUGACGGUAUCUUACCAGAAAGGGACGGCUAACUACGUGCCAGCAGCCGCGGUAAUACGUAGGUCCCGAGCGUUGUCCGGAUUUAUUGGGCGUAAAGCGAGCGCAGGCGGUUAGAUAAGUCUGAAGUUAAAGGCUGUGGCUUAACCAUAGUACGCUUUGGAAACUGUUUAACUUGAGUGCAAGAGGGGAGAGUGGAAUUCCAUGUGUAGCGGUGAAAUGCGUANAUAUAUGGAGGAACACCGGUGGCGAAAGCGGCUCUCUGGCUUGUAACUGACGCUGAGGCUCGAAAGCGUGGGGAGCAAACAGGAUUAGAUACCCUGGUAGUCCACGCCGUAAACGAUGAGUGCUAGGUGUUAGACCCUUUCCGGGGUUUAGUGNCGCAGCUAACGCAUUAAGCACUCCGCCUGGGGAGUACGACCGCAAGGUUG